AACAGUGAUUAUAGCAACGGGGAUCACCUGAACCCAUUCCGAACUCAGUAGUUAAGCCCGUUAGUGCCGAAGAUAGCAGAGAUGCAAAAAUAGGGGGUUGCUGUUU
rnacentral:rRNA from 2 species